rnacentral:rRNA from 1 species
GCAGUCGAACGAACCUUCGGGUUAGUGGCGGACGGGUGAGUAACGCGUGAGAAUCUGCCCUCAGGAGGGGGAUAACGGCUGGAAACGGCCGCUAAUACCCCAUAUGCCGAGAGGUGAAAUGAAAUUCGCCUGAGGAUGAGCUCGCGUCUGAUUAGCUAGUUGGCAGGGUAAAGGCCUACCAAGGCAACGAUCAGUAGCUGGUCUGAGAGGAUGAUCAGCCACACUGGGACUGAGACACGGCCCAGACUCCUACGGGAGGCAGCAGUGGGGAAUUUUCCGCAAUGGGCGAAAGCCUGACGGAGCAACGCCGCGUGAGGGAUGAAGGCCUCUGGGCUGUAAACCUCUUUUAUCAAGGAAGAAGAUCUGACGGUACUUGAUGAAUAAGCCACGGCUAAUUCCGUGCCAGCAGCCGCGGUAAUACGGGAGUGGCAAGCGUUAUCCGGAAUUAUUGGGCGUAAAGCGUCCGCAGGCGGUCUUACAAGUCUGUCGUUAAAGCGUGGAGCUUAACUCCAUUUCAGCGAUGGAAACUGUAAGACUAGAGUGUGGUAGGGGCAGAGGGAAUUCCCGGUGUAGCGGUGAAAUGCGUAGAUAUCGGGAAGAACACCAGUGGCGAAGGCGCUCUGCUGGGCCAUAACUGACGCUCAUGGACGAAAGCCAGGGGAGCGAAAGGGAUUAGAUACCCCUGUAGUCCUGGCCGUAAACGAUGAACACUAGGUGUCGGGGGAAUCGACCCCCUCGGUGUCGUAGCCAACGCGUUAAGUGUUCCGCCUGGGGAGUACGCACGCAAGUGUGAAACUCAAAGGAAUUGACGGGGGCCCGCACAAGCGGUGGAGUAUGUGGUUUAAUUCGAUGCAACGCGAAGAACCUUACCAGGGUUUGACAUCCUGCGAAUCCCUUGGAAACGAGGGAGUGCCUUCGGGAACGCAGUGACAGGUGGUGCAUGGCUGUCGUCAGCUCGUGUCGUGAGAUGUUGGGUUAAGUCCCGCAACGAGCGCAACCCACGUCUUUAGUUGCCAGCAUUUAGUUGGGCACUCUAGAGAGACUGCCGGUGAUAAACCGGAGGAAGGUGUGGAUGACGUCAAGUCAUCAUGCCCCUUACAUCCUGGGCUACACACGUACUACAAUGCUACGGACAAAGGGCAGCAAACUCGCGAGAGCUAGCCAAUCCCAUAAACCGUGGCUCAGUUCAGAUCGUAGGCUGCAACUCGCCUACGUGAAGGAGGAAUCGCUAGUAAUCGCAGGUCAGCAUACUGCGGUGAAUACGUUCCCGGGCCUUGUACACACCGCCCGUCACACCAUGGAAGUUGGCCACGCCCGAAGUCGUUACUCCAACCCUCGUGGAGGAGGAUGCCGAAGGUGGGGCUGAUGACUGGGGUGAAGUCGUAACAAGGUAGCCGUACCGGAAGGUGC